CUGUGUCCCGGACCUUAUAUGAUUGCAAUGGGUAACCUCUCAGGCGCAGCUUUGCUGCUGGGAGCGCUAAAUGUAUCAUAAGGCCUCUUAUCAAUUAAAAUAACAAGAGGGCAGUUACUCAGAGGCAAGCUGAGGUUCAACAUCGCACCAGGACCAUACCUGAAAAAGAAGUUAGGAUAUAUUGCUACCAGCGUCGAGGUCGUUGUUAAACAAAAUGACGGUAAUCCGCAGGACUGCCACCAGAAGAGGACAGAGCUCCGCAUGCCCUCAGCUGCAGUGGACUGAGGACCUAAUCCUAGCCAACCUAGGCUGGACCCCAUGGCUGGAAACCAACAUCACAAAAGGAAUCCAGAACUGACUGUGGCAAACAUGAAGGAUUCUGAGGUUAUUCAGAAAGUCUUAAUUGUAAAACGUGUUUAAAAACAUCCAAUAUAUGGCGAAAUCCCAUUGAGUUAAAAAGUGUCUUUGGAAAAAGUGAAUGGGACUCAGAAGAUGAGAAAGGUUUUUACCUUUUAUGUUUAUCUGGGUACAAACUAAUGUGGAACAAACAAGACAUGAGGUCAGAUCCAUUUGCAACUACCAAUUAAAUAGUCCAAAUAAUUCACACCUAUUCAUCGAGGAGACACAUGUUCAUCACAGCUCUACUGGGUAGAAUAGAGGACAGUUGUGUCGAGGUGCAUCUAGCAGGUCUCACCUUGCCGAAGAGGAGGUGAACACAAUCACAAGCCUAUUUGAAUGGUGUUGGCAAAUUUUUGCUUGUAGGUUCUACCUGUGGAGUGGGAGCCUCUCUCUCUGUCUCUCUCCUGUUUUGUCUUUCUUUUCCUUCUUUCUGUCUCGCUCCCUCUCCCUGCUCCUCUCCUCUCUCUCGGAUAGACACGACUGCCCCGGUCCGGCGUGGUGAUCCAUCUCUGUCAGGCCGCUAAAAUGAUAACGCCAAUUAAAUGAGCGGAGUAAUUGCCCUCGGGUCCCAACAGGCUCUCCCCAGCAGCAGCAGUCUUGGAAUACGAAUGAGACCCCGGCCCCCAAAGGAGCAGGGAUAGGGGGAGGUGGUGUUGCGGGGGGGGGAGGAGGGGGGGUGAUUUGUAACUUUUAACCUCUGCUGAUCACUGUGCUCCUGAUGGUCCGCUGAGGAACAAAUCCACCAGGCGCCCAGGGGUCCGCGUGACAGGUUUUAAAGCCACAUGUGCACAACACGUUAAACACGCCUUUAAACACUUGGCUGCUCUUCCCCUUGGCUCUUACCCUUGCACUCGUACCAACACGCUGCCACAUUCCAGUAUCAUAGGCACACUCUUAAAGGCACACUACACGAUUAUAGACUUGACCUCUCUUUUUAAAUCCAGCAUUUGAAGCCAUGCUUAUAACAGUUUAAGUAGGCAGCUGCGUCAGCAUGCGUAGGCUGCAAAGGAACAAGUCAAGGUUUAUUCCAGGCUGAAAAGAGAAGAAAAGAAACAAAGCGUUUCGGUUGUGGAGCAUUCUUCGGGUGUCAUAACAGGUUUAUAACAGGUUCGUUUUGCAACUUUUACAGGUUCACAUAAAGAACAGGUUUUUGUUUAUUACAGGUUCACUUUUAGGUAGCUAAUUGCAAUAUACCGUCACCAGCUAAAUGGUUCAUAUUCCUCAUGAUGAAAACCAUCUGAAAUUCACUGAGCUUUACUGACAGGUGGAAUAAACGUACACGAGAUCUAGUCAUUGUCUGGUAAAGGUCUUGGUGCAGCGCUGCAGUGCAGUUCACUGAAGUUGCUCAGUUUGUGACUGCACAGAAAAUACGCCACUUGAGUAAACACCUAAGUGUUUUUUUUAAGUAGGUUAUGGGACUGUUAGAUUAUAUUGCUCAAAGAUUGAACGGAGAAAAAGAUUCAUUAACCACCUUGACACUAUUGACUAGCUCUUCUAGAGUUAAGAACACACCAGUGGUCUUUUUACAGAGACUUUACCCGAAGAGUUAUUGUCUCAGGUAAAAUCUUAUGUUGCAAAGCAAUAAAAUUAUAUUUAAUGGCUUUGUGUUAUUUAGUCACUUUCUCUAGGAGAUAUUGAAGGGUUUUACAGUAACAGCAGAACACAGGGACAUUUUUGAUUUCUUCCCAUAAUGAUGAUGUGACGGUGCUUCAGUCAUAUUUUGAUAUCACAACAGUGCUGCAUGGCUUUGUUCCAUUUUAAAUGGGUUUGUAAUAGUGUGUAAGUGUUGUUGCUGCCUUCUUUUUUUUCUUUCCAAACCAUAAAUCCAUAAGGGUCAACAACAAAGGGGUGCUAAUAGCUGCCUCUGCAAGCUUGCCCUCAGAGCUAAAGGCUGUCAUAACUAUGGCUUGAUUCAUGACCUGUCACAGUUGUUAUGUGGGUGGUUACUUGGAGUCUUGUAAUGAGUAGAGGAGUCAGAUUAGGAGUUAGCUAACACAUUCCUGGAAAGCCUAUGUGAUAUUCAAUCAUCACCUCGGACACAAGUCUUGCUGUAUAAAUGUGGUAUAACAUGGGCAGUGCUGCUUUCCAAUUAUACUGCUAAUUUAUGGUGGGACAAACCAAACAAAAAACAGUUCAAGCUAAUACUUAACACAGAAUGGAAUUCACAAACC